AUUGAACGCUGGCGGCAUGCUUUACACAUGCAAGUCGAACGGCAGCGCGGGCUUCGGCCUGGCGGCGAGUGGCGAACGGGUGAGUAAUACAUCGGAACGUGCCCAGUAGUGGGGGAUAGCUCGGCGAAAGCCGGAUUACUACCGCAUACGACCUGAGGGUGCAAGCGGGGGAUCUUCGGACCUCGCGCUAUUGGAGCGGCCGAUGGCAGAUUAGCUAGUUGGUGGGGUAAAGGCCUACCAAGGCGACUAUCUGUAGCUGGUCUGAGAGGACGACCAGCCACACUGGGACUUAGACACGGCCCAUACUCCUACGGGAGGCAGCAGUGGGGAAUUUUGGACAAUGGGCGAAAGCCUGAUCCAGCAAUGCCGCGUGUGAUAUGAAGGCCUUCGGGUUGGAAAGCACUUUUGGCGGGAACGAAAAGGACUGUGCCAAUACCACGGUUCGAUGACGGUACCCGCAGAAUAAGCACCGGCUAACUACGUG
rnacentral:rRNA from 1 species